rnacentral:rRNA from 1 species
UACAGAGGUCUCAAGCGUUGUUCGGAUUCAUUGGGCGUAAAGGGUGCGUAGGCGGCGCGGUAAGUCGGGUGUGAAAUCCCUCGGCUCAACCGGGGAACGACGCAUGAAACUGACAAGCUAGAGUACCAAAAGAGGGGGGGUGGAAUUCCCGGUGUAGCGGUGGAAAUGCGUAGAUAAUCGGGGAGGAACACCGGGUGGCGAAAGGCGGCCCCCUGGUUGGAUACUGACGCUGAGACGCGAAAGCGUGGGGAGCAAACAGG